rnacentral:rRNA from 1 species
UACGGGGGGAGCAAGCGUUGUUCGGAUUUACUGGGCGUAAAGGGCGGGUAGGCGGCCACCGCAAGUCGACUGUGAAAUCUCCGGGCUUAACCCGGAAAGGUCAGCCGAUACUGCGGGGCUAGAGUGCAGAAGGGGCAACUGGAAUUCUCGGUGUAGCGGUGAAAUGCGCAGAUAUCAGGAGGAACACCAAUUGCGAAGGCAGCUCGCUGGGACGUUACUGACGCUGAGACGCGAAAGCGUGGGGAGCAAACAGG